AUCUAUUUGAGGGUGAGUCAGCAGGAUUUGCUGGAGGAUUGGAUGUGGGGUGCAAGAGGAAGAGAAGAAUCAAGGACUGCUCCCAGUUACUCUAAUGCCACUUUUUAAGAUGCCACUCUUAGCCUCAUUCCUCAAAUCCAAGUUUACAUGUCUAAGCAGAGGAUUACGAUGCACACUGCUAAUAUUUCCACUGAGAAGCAAAAUGUGAGAAAGUAAACAAGAUGAUACUUCCUCAAAUAUUUGGCAGGAAGCCUUGGGAGAAAAGGAACAUGUCUGUCUUGCCCACUGUUGUCUCUUGGUUGCUAAUAUAUUACCUGGAUCAUAAUAAUGCCCAAACAGCAGUUAGUAAGCAAAUGAAUGGAACGGUGGUAUAUGAGUAUAUAUGGGUGUGUAUUAUUUAUGGAUAUGUUAUACGCAUAGAGGGAGAGGGAGGGACUUAUUUAUUACGAUGUGAGGAAUUGACCCACGUGAUUAUGGAGGCCGGGAAGUCCCACGAUCUGCUAUCUGCAAGCCGGGGACCAGGAAAGCUGGUGGGAUAGUUCCAGCUAAAACCUGAAAUGCCAGAGAACCAGGGCAACCAAUGGUGUAAGUCCCAGACCAAGUCCAAAGGCCUGAGGACCAGGCAUGAGGGCGGCAGAAGAUGGGUGUCUCAGCCCAGGCAGAUGGCAAAUUCGCCCCUUCCUCCAUCUUUUUGUUCUUUUUUUUUUUUUUUCCAUCUUUUUGUUCUAUUCAGGCCCUCAGCCGAUUGGAAGUUGCCUACCUAAUUGGGGGUAAGCAAUCUUCUUUACUCAGCCUACUGAUUCAAAUGCUCAUCUUCUCCAGAAACCCCCUUAAGGACACGCCCAGAAAUCAUUUCACCAGCUAUCUGGGCAUUCCUUAGCCCGCUCAAGUGGACACACGAGAUUAACCGUUUGGAUAUUGUUAUCUGUGAGAAAUAGUGACCAUACAGAAUUGUCUCUGGAAUCCCUUUUUGAAAUGUUCCCUUUUGCUUUUCUGGUCAUUUUCCAACUACUAUUUCAUGUGACCUUUUCUACUUCUUCUGAUAUUUUAGUCCUUACGAUUUCAACCACAUCCUGUAAUUACAAGAUAACUUGAACUGACACCAAAUUUCCCAUUCUCUUUUCCUGCUACUUAACAGGGUUCAGAUACAAUUUACCGUUGCUCUUAAGAUAAUGUUUAUACCUUUGGGCUGCUUCCAGUCCCCAAAUCCACAUGCAUGUGGACAUGUCCAUGCAAAGAGCUUUUGCCUGGUACCUUCUCCUCAGUUUGAAGGGCAGAGGGAGGUGAUAGAAGGAACACCAGGUAAAGAGGAAAUCUAAGUUCUAAAUCUGAGCUGUGUUUGCAGCUCCUUCAUGUAAUGGAAACUUGUUUCCUUUUGGCUCCUUAACCACAAGAGGGAGAUAAUAUCACGUAUUCUUAAGACAACCCCUGAAAUAAUUUUCUUUUCCAUAUAAAUGAUCACAUAAGGGAUGUUAAUACCCUUGGGUAUUUCAUUAGUUGUUUAUGAGUUUUAGUAAACAUUGAAUCCAAGGUCCUAAAGCAAAGAUUACAAACUGGUAGCUCCAGGGACCAU